ensembl:lncRNA
CUUCCUUCCCACUCCCCUGACCUCUGGGGAGGAGAGAGGGCUUGGAGAUGGAAUUUAUGGCCAGUGGCCAAUGAUUUAAUCAAUUGUUCCCAUAUAAUGAAGCAUCCACAAAAACCCAAAAGGACAGGGUUUAGAGAGCAUCCAGAUCUCUUCUUGAAUCAACUUAUUCUAAAUAAUCUCUCUUAGCUUGAAUGACUAUGCAGUGUGUAUCUGUGACUAUGGAAUGUGUAUCUACAGUCAACAUUAUGUUAUCCUGUGCCAGGAGAAGAGCUCUGCCCACAAUGGAUGCUCAAAAAUUUUUUGCUGGAUAAACAAAUACGAGAGUGAAUGAUGUACUUGCCCAUAUCAUGUUUCUGGAGUCAUUCUCUGGCUUCUCUCUGUGUCGCAUUCCUGUCCCUCUUGUUAAGUGUGAUGACCAGGUAUCUCCUAUUAGAGCAGCCCUCCUGUGGAUAACAGCUAUAAACAGUGGAGAAUAUUUUUAAAACAGCUACAUGCACGUGUCAAAAACAAGAGGAAACUAAAGAGGAGACCACAAUUGGAAGAAAGAAAUGGCUCUCUGUUAUUUCUCCAUUUUCACAUUUUGUUUUUAACCUAAAGGCAGACUUCAGUCAGCAGCAAGUGAACAGCUAGUGAACAGCAAGCGAACUGGAUAGAAAUCCAACUGUCUUACCAGCUUGCAGAGGCAGAAGACAGAAUUCAUAGUGCCUACAGUUGUUGAGAAACAGAGGGAAUAAUCUAAAAGGGAAUAAGCCCAGGUGGGGGAGCCCUAUAUUCUGCUUGUAAAUUCUGUCUAAAUCUCUGGCUGUCCCCUGGAAAAAAACACGUGUGAGACAGACAGGAACCCGCCCAGCUGAGACUGAAAGAACAGAACAGAGAACUUUACUGCUCCUAUAGUAAAGGAGACAGAAUUCAGAUUUUCAGUCCAGCCAACACUUUGCUGAGGAAUAUAACUGAAUGACCCAGAGUAUCUACAAAGUGUCAUUUAGAACAUGCCAGAUAUAACGUUAAAUGACUAAACACUUCAUUCAUGCAUAUCUUCCUGAAGAAUUCCUUCAAGACCCAAAUACCAGUUUUAUUAAGAAGCUCUUCCUGCCUGCAUCCUCAUCACUUCUUUGUCUGCCCAAUCUCUGAACCUAGGCAUUCCUCUCUGUCAUACUAUGCAUUGCAGUUUAGGAUAAUUUAGUCCUUUUUUAAUGAACUCAUUAUGCUACGAGCUGUGCAAAGGCAUAAACCUAACUUAGUUCCUCUUGGUCUCUCCAAACCCCAUAAUAAAGGUCCCAUAAAUGUGACUCUCAUUGGGAUAACACAAAAAUGCUUUUUUCCUGAAAAUUAAAGGUCUGGGUGAGAGGGGUAAAUUGGAAGGUUGAGACUGACAUAUACACACAACUAUAUACAAAACAGAUAAUUAAUAAGAACCUACUUACUGUAUAGCACAGGGAACUCUAUUCAAUACUCUGUAAUGACCUAAUGGGAACAGAAUCUAAAAAAGAGUGGAUAUAUGUGUGUAUACAUAUAUAUGUAGGUAUGUAUAACUGGCUGACUGUGCCUUACAGCAGAAAUGAACACAACAUGGCAAAUCAAC